rnacentral:rRNA from 1 species
UACGUAGGGUGCGAGCGUUGUCCGGAAUUAUUGGGCGUAAAGGGCUCGUAGGCGGUUUGUCGCGUCGGGAGUGAAAACCCAGGGCUUAACCCUGGGCUGGCUUCCGAUACGGGCAGACUAGAGGUAUGCAGGGGAGAACGGAAUUCCUGGUGUAGCGGUGAAAUGCGCAGAUAUCAGGAGGAACACCGGUGGCGAAGGCGGUUCUCUGGGCAGUACCUGACGCUGAGGAGCGAAAGUGUGGGGAGCGAACAGG